GAGAAAUGGAAUAAUCAUAUCGCUGAUCUAUGUAAACAAGUUGAAGAAUUGUCUGACAGAAAAUACGUUUCGCUUUUGUUGUUCUGGCUGGAGUGCAAUGGCGCAAUCUCGGCUCACCGCAACCUCCGCCUCCUAGGUUCAAGCGAUUCUCCUGCCUCAACCUCCAGAGUAGCUAGGACUACAGGUGUGCACCACCAUGCGCAGACAUGAACUUGUGAAUUCAACACGUGAAGAUUUACAACUUGAUAAACCAGCUUCAGGAGUAAAGGAAGAAUGGUAUGCCAGAAUCACUAAAUGAAGAAAGAUGGUGGAUCAGCUUUUCUGCAAAAUAAUUUGCUGAAGCCUUGGGGAGCACUGAAGCCAAGGUUCUACUGUACCAAAAAUUUGAAGCACAUGCGAAUGAUCUGUAUGCGGAAGGACUACCAGAAAACAUUCCUUUCAGAAGUCCCUCGUGGUAUGGAAUCCCAAGGCUGGAAAACAUCAUUCAAGUGGGCAAUCGAAUUAAAUUUCUUAUUAAAAGUAACUCCAGUCAGACUCCAUUGUCUCCAAGUCGACUUUCGUCCUCAUCCACAACUCCUCCACACAAGCCCUGAACACGUGUCCAUAUGGAGUUUUACUCUUGUUGCCCUUGCUGGAGUGCAAUGGUGUGAUCUUGGCUCACCGCAACCUCUGCCUCCCGGAUUCAAGUGAUUCUCCUUCCUCAGCCUCCC